UAGUCCACGCCGUAAACGAUGGACACUAGUUGUUGGGAUUUAUCUCAGUGACUAAGCGAAAGUGAUAAGUGUCCCACCUGGGGAGUACGAUCGCAAGAUUGAAACUCAAAGGAAUUGACGGGGGCCCGCGCAAGCGGUGGAGCAUGUGGUUUAAUUCGAUGAUACGCGAGGAACCUUACCAGGGCUUAAAUGUAGAGCGACAGGGCUAGAGAUAGCUUUUUCUUCGGACACUUUACAAGGUGCUGCAUGGUUGUCGUCAGCUCGUGCCGUGAGGUGUCAGGUUAAGUCCUAUAACGAGCGCAACCCCUAUUGUUAGUUGCUAACAGGUAAUGCUGAGGACUCUAGCGAGACUGCCGGUGACAAACCGGAGGAAGGUAAGGAUGACGUCAAGUCAGCAUGCCCCUUAUGCUCUGGGCUACACACGUGCUACAAUGGCCGUGACAAAGAGUUGCUACUUUGUGAAAACAAGCUAAUCUCAUAAACGCGGCCUCAGUUCGGAUCG
rnacentral:rRNA from 1 species